rnacentral:pre_miRNA from 1 species
CCCUAGCAUAUACCGAAUACCUUAUGUUGCUUUUGUAAUUCUUUUAGGGUUUUACGGAGAGGAAUAGAUUGUUAGGAGUUAUUGGAUUGGGUUUGGGUUGGAA